GGCAAUCAUCAAACCCUUGAAUAGCUUUUGAUAAAGUUAAUUCGGAUUUGUACAAGGAACAUUUGUGGGCGACACCAUCACACCCUCAGUGGCAGUGGGUUCAAUUUCACCGUCCAACAAAACCAAAUAUUUCACUUCACCUUGUUAAUUAAUUAAAUUUUGAACUUUAAUGGCCCAUACACGCUACUGAACUUUCUCAACAUAAUGGGCCAUGCAUGCUCUGCACAUUGGUCUUUGAUAGUUGCCUCAACCCUCACCUACUCCACCUUUUUUGUCUUCUUCCUCAGCUACGCAUUGCCAUUGUUGGAUUCUUUAAUAUUCUCUGCUGAUAUCCUGACCUCUUCCUUUACGCUUAACAACCACUCCCGUUUCUUAUAUACAUAUCCUGAUCACCAUCUCUUCAUGUACCGAGCGACUAUAAAUUUGGAUUCAUCAUACUAACUACAUAGUAUAUAUAGAUAACGGGCAACGGAUUUACCCACCAAAAACCAUGGAAAAAGAAGGCAUAUUUUGACGCAAUAAAAUAGAAGCAUACGCCUAAGGGAAAUGGAAAGAAGUAAUUAACCUUUAAAUUGCGGAGAAAAGUAGAUGGUUGUCUUCUUCAGCCCCGUUCUCUUGCUUACUUGGUGCUGCAUGAUGAGACUGCCGUCGCUUGCAUGGACUGUUGUGAGG
rnacentral:lncRNA from 1 species